ensembl:lncRNA
GGAAGCGGCCGCGGCGGGCCGGCGGGGGGCGCGUGGGAAGGGCCGGCGGGUUCCGUGGCGGCCCUCAGAGCUGUCCGCCGCCUGAGGAGGGCCCUCGUCCCGGCGGGACCCGGCGCCGCGAUGUGUCCUGGAAAGAGGAAUUCUUACAGAGAGAUGUGAUGAAAUACUGCCAUGCAUGAAGGAAGUGACUGUUAAGGAGAGCAAAAAAGACAAUUUCCAAGCAUGGUAAAAGAUGAAACCCAACAAGUACUUCAAAAGAAACACUGCAGACCUCUCAGAAAUGCCUGUGGACUACUGAUGGUCUUCAAAGAAUUUGGGCGGCACUAUGGAGCAGCGUUAAUCACUGCAGAUAAUUAGAUUGGAGGACAGCCAGCAUAGCCUGUCAUCUGGACAUCAUCAAACAAUUGCAACUGCAACGUCCUGCUCCUGUGAGUGAACACCCAAACAGCACGUGGCUACAGACUGCAGGGCAUGACUGUGCAGGUCGAGGUGCGUUUGGGGCUGUGGCAGUUUAAAGAUUUUUAUGGAAUCCCUGUAUCCUAACACUGAUACUCAAAGGGAAGUUAAGAUGUCCAUUUCACUGAGUACUCCCUAUGUCUUGCCACAACUAUAGAUAAAAGAUGCAGAUGUUCACAAGGGAUUCCGUGUAUCCCUUGGUGGUGGUGAACAGUUUUCUGCAGAUGAGUCUAAGGCUUCAGAGACUUGUGGCAAAUGGUACCUGGUGUGCAAGGAGGAGCCCAGAGCCUGAGGUCUCAAGAAAGGUUGUAGAUUAAUAUGUGGGGCAACUUUUUGUUCUUUGGAGCCCAGGUCUCAUCCUUGUUGCUGUGUACUUAGCAUGUGUAAUCAGACAUAAGGUAAUUCUUAAUACAGCAGCUCUUACCACUUCAUUUUGAACUUGCUGUAUAUUUUGUAUUCAGGUGCAGGCAACACAUUCCAGGAAGAAUAAUUGAAUCCUUGAAAAUGGGAGUACAUAAGAAGUACAGAGUAAAUGCAUUUACUUUUGGCAGAAAUUCUGGACAGUGCAGUACUUGAUCCAAGGGAGUAAGAAGGCUAUUAUCAUCCAUUAUCUUUCUGUGCUUAAAGCCACAUUUUCCUGAGUGCUUUUCCCCUGUGUGAGUGCUGAUACUUUCAGUGUAAGGAAGGAUCUGAGGUUCCCUUACAGUGGUUAUACUGCAUCACCUCAUGUUCUCGAAUGUAAGAUGCACUACCAGUCGCUCAUGGACAGUGACUUUCAUCAGACAGAGCGAUUUGAAGAUCAGAGGUUGCUAGGAAUAAACAGAGAGUUUAUAAUGAACAGAAAAAUGAAUUCAUUAAAAGAAAGUGCUACAUCUUAGAGUUCGGGAAGAUUAGGGAUACAGGAUAAUUGCAGACGUCCGGUGGAGCUGGAUCUGGCUAAGGAAAUUAAAAAAAUGCUGCAGAAGUCCUUAGUCAUGUAAAGCAGUAAUUUCACAACAUAAAAAUGUAUGAUUUGCGUUUAACUUCGGUGAAAUUUUUGCUGAGGUCAGUAUAGAAAAUUACAAUGCUGCAUAUCAAAUUAUAGUUCCU